ensembl:lncRNA
CUAAUAUCCAUGCCCAUCUUCCUCUACUUUAUAUGUGGGAUGCCUACCACAGCACGGCUUGCCACGGGGUGCUGUGUCUGCACCCGGGAUCCAAGCCGGCAAACCCAGGGCCGCUGAAGCGGAAUGUGUGAACUUAACCGCUGCGCCACUGGCCUGGCCCCUACUUGGCCUUUUAAAUACUUCUAAUGUACUAGUGCUUUACAGUGGUAGCCCUGCAAGCAUAAGCAUUCCAUAGUUCCUGUGCCUAGGGCUGCUGCCCAACCCUGAGGACCCUCAGCGUGGUGAGGAGAAGGCCAAGAAGUGGGUCUUCAUUUCCUGAAACAUCCAGAUACUCACUCCCAUGAAGCUCUCAAGAUGAUAUCAAGGGGGCCGGCCCUGUGCCAAGUGGUUAAAGUUCCGGGCACUCCAACUCGGCAGCCCAGGUUUGCGGUUUGGAUCCUACUUCACUCAUGAGCCAUGCUGUGGAAGUGACCCACACACAAAGUGGAGGAAGAUUGGCACAGAUGUUAGCUCAGGGCUAAUCUUCCUCACACACACUCAAAUGAUAUCAAGAUGACAGGAGCCUGGUUAGUGCCACUGAGGUCCCUCUCCAUCAAGAGAGAGUCCUAAGAGGAUGGGCCUAAGCUCCUCUGGCGUGAAAGGCAGCCGAGCCCUCAGGGGGUGUUGUUGGCCUCUCUUACCGCUGGCUGUGCUGGGGAAGCUUCUCGCCACUUCCCAAGCCUGGCCUCUAGAUAGAGGCCAAGACUUCGACUCGUUAGACUGUGCUCUGUUCUUGGAGCAUUUUGCUCCAGGUAGGGGACGUUGUAAAUUUGAAGGACCAGCACUGGAGAGAAGAUCCAGAGCUGGAGGAAACGAGCCAUCACUGAAAUGUCAAACAGGAUGAAGUGUGGACUUCUAGAUCGUGGAGGAGUGGAGUGCAAGGAUGAUACCGUCCGUGGACUGAUAGCAGCUGUGUGGCCAUGUGCUUGGAGUUCUUACAUUAAACAGUACUUGCUUGAGUGUGCAGGGCCUCAGUGGAAUCAAUCUGUGUCACAGAAGGACUAAAGGACCAUGGUGGGCCCAAAAUAGGGGAAACAGGCUUCUUGCGUGUGGUGAACAUGAUUUCGGCCUCAGUGGCUAGACUUGUACCUCCUUGCUUGCAGCUCAGUGUGAAAAGGCUGAGGCACUAGUCAUUGCAGGCUGAGCACACUUAUGGAACCAGGACCCAGAUCAAGAAGGAAAACAUCUCCAGGACCCAGAAGCACCCUUCCUGGAGUCCCUCCCAGUCACUGGUCUCCUGCCGAGGGUGAGGACCAUCUUGACUUCGCUUUUCCUGUUUUUGUAACUCCUAUGAGUGUGAUUAUACAGCGUACACUCCUGAGUGUUUCUCUUCUUUUGCUCAAUGUUCUACCUGUAAGAUUUGUCCCUACUGUGUUUGUGGUUGUCGUUUGUUCAUUCUACAUUCUGGUGUGGUAAGGUGCCUCAUUGUUUAUUUAUUCAGUCUACACUCUGAGGGGAUUUGGGUGCUUGCAAUUUGGAGGUUUUACUGCUAUAAACUAUGAAUAUUCUAGCACGUUUCUUCGGGUCAACAUGUGUGAACAUUUCUGUUUGGUUUGUACCUAUAAGUGGGAGUUCGUGGCUUUAAAUAUUUUGGGCUAUUAAGUAAGAUUGCCUUUUAAGUGAGUCAGCUUUGACAUUUAACGAUAGCAUUUAAAAUACUCCAUAGCCUUCUUCCCAUUCUCGGUGUUCUUCCUAACCGGAAGGGCGCUGGUCAACAUCUACAAUCAGAAUAAGGCAGGAAUGAAGGAGCGGGGCUGAGACUGGUCACUCCAACAAAAAGUCACGAUCCCUCACUCAGUUCCUGGGUCCGAGCCGAUUAUCAGUCAGGAAGCCCUUGACUGAAGGGGUGGCCAGGUCCUCAGGAGC